CAGUCGCCACGGGAAUACAGAGGGUGCGAGCGUUAAUCGGAUUUACUGGGCGUAAAGCGUGUGUAGGUUGUUGUUCAAGUCAGUUGUGAAAUCCCUGGGCUCAACCUGGGAACUGCUUCUGAGACUGAACGACUAGAGUACGGUAGAGGGUGGUGGAAUUUCCGGUGUAGCGGUGAAAUGCGUAGAUAUCGGAAGGAACAUCAAUGGCGAAGGCAGCCACCUGGGCCUGUACUGACACUGAGACACGAAAGCGUGGGGAUCAAACAGGAUUAGAUACCCCGGUAGUCCCUGUCUCUUAUAC
rnacentral:rRNA from 1 species